ACAACUCUUACUAACGACUUCUUACGAUCUGGUUCACGUUCAUCAUCUUUAGCUUUGACUUUGUAUUGAUCUGAAACUUCUUCUUCCUCUUUAUAAUCACCACGGUUCUUCUUCUUCUUGCCUUUUAGUUUUUCUUCUUCUCACUGACUUCCAUUCUUUCAUUUGCAGGUUUUACUCAAUGAAUCACUUCUCAACACAAAGUAGUAUGUGAAGCAAAGUGUGAUCACUACCUCGUUCAUUGCAACCAUAGGUGUCUCAUAAGAAGAGGUUUCGUCCGCCGCGGAGUAUCUUUUUGCGAAGAUUAUGAAUCACAACUUGUUUUCAACAGAAACUAAGCAGGACCAUUGUUGAACGGCUUAAGAUAUGCUCAGUUAAAUAUACUUCGUUUCAGAUGCAUCGAAACACAUCUUUGACUAAUGUAGCUUUUAACGUAGAGAAGAUGUCAUGUACUGAUGUAAAUUGUUUAGAUCGUGUGAUAGUUAUCAGGAUCAAAUCGUAUUGGUAUGAAUCGCAUUGGCAUCUUUAGAAUAAUUUUUGUAAAGAGAAGAGAGCAAUAUGUUUGAUCUAUUACUUGCACACGUAUUCGUAUAG
rnacentral:lncRNA from 1 species